CUUUUAAUGGAAUUAGGCACAUCUUUCACAGGUUUGCAACUGGAGUGGACACAUAAAGCUUAUUCAGAUGGUUUGUACUAUUCCAAUAGGAACAUUGGAUGCUACAAAGCUUCUAUGUUUGUAUGUUGUAUUAUUGGAUGGAUCUUGGUCUUAUUUCUAAUAUAUGAUUUUAUUAUUGAUAUUUAUUAAAA